CAGUGCCACGGCCGUCUGAGCUAAGGCAUCCAUAAACAGAAAGGCGCAGCGUACUGCGCCUUUUUU
rnacentral:sRNA from 1 species